rnacentral:lncRNA from 1 species
AAGGGAAAGGGAGUGAGAUGGACUGGGAGUUUGGGCUUAUAGAUGCAAACUAUUACAUUUAGAAUGGAUAAGCAGUGAGGUCCUUCAUAGUUCAGGGAACCGUAUCCAAUCGCUUGGGAUAGACCAUGAUGGAAGAUAGUAUGACCGAAAGAAUAUAUAUAUGUGUGUGUGUGUGUGUGUCACUUUGCUAUACAGCAGAAAUUGGCACAACAUUGUAAAUCAAAUAUACAACAAUGUUUUUAAAAUAGAGGGCAUAGGAGUUCCCAUCAUGGCUCAGUGGUUAACAAAUCCAACUAGGAACCAUGAGGUUGCAGGUUCAAUCCCUGGCCUCGCUCAGUGGGUUAAGGAUCCCACGUUGCUGUGGCUCUGGCGUAGGCUGGCAGCUACAUCUCCGAUUCGACCUCUAGCCUGGGAACCUCCAUAUGCCACGGGAGUGGCCCUAGAAAAGGUAAAAAGACAAUAAAUAAAUAAAUAAAUAAAUAAAUAACAAAAAUAAAAUAAAAUAGAGGGCAUAAAUUCAUUGAGUAAUAAAAAAAUUAAUAAAAAUUUAAAAAUAAAUAAAAGUCUGAAAAAAAAAUAAAAAUAAAAAUAGAGGGCACAGUUUUUAGGGCCCUAGCCUGCUGUGGCCUCCUUGGCCUGGCAAAGCAAUAAAACUAUUUUUUUCCCCUUUUGCCCCUCCGCCCCCAAUAGAACCAUUUAUUAUGUCACAUGAAUCUACCCCUCAGUGAGGCCAUGCUGCUGCUCUGAGUGUGGCUCAGCUGAUCUCAGCUGGGCUGGGUCACUGGUCUGAGGUCAACUGGAGGUCAGCAGAGAGCUGGAUGGCAGAAUCAACCUUGGCUGGGAUGACUCAGCACCACGCUGCUUGGUCUCUCAUCAUCCACUAGGCUAGCCUAGGCUUGUUCUAAUGGCACAGAGAACCAGAGGCAACAGAAGUGCAUAAGAUAUGUAGGCCUGGGCUCAGAACUGGCACACAGUUACUUCGCAUAUAGUCCAUGGCUGAAGCAAGGCACGUGGCCAGGCCAGAUCAAAGAAUGGGGAAAUAGACCCCAUCUUUUGAUGGGAAGAACUACAAAGUCAUAUUACAAGCAGAAAGGAUUAAAAAAAAAUAGUUGUAAAUCCAUCUACCACAAUCACUAAGCUAUAAAAGAAUAUGACAUAUUUAGGAGAAAUCCAGGAUUUAGGUAUGGCUUGAGGAUAAAGUUCUAAUAGAGAUUGAGAUGAACAGAUGAUGAAGUUGUAAGCUGGAGCUAGGUCAUGAAAGGACUUUUCAUUUAGAAGAAAACCACAUUUAGAAAUUCUAAUUUUUUAAGGCAAUUAUAAAGUUAUCAUGUAGUUGAUGUGAUUAUAUCUGUAUUUUAGAAAAAAAUGUAAUGCACAAUUUCCUAAAGGAAAAAAAGACAGGAGUUAGGCCAGUUAAGAAGCUACUAUGGUUAUUUAAGUCAGAAUUGAUUAGGGUUUAUACAGAGGAAAGAGGAAUGAAGAAUAUGGGGAGACAAAUUUGGAAAAAUGUUGGGGACAAAAUUGACGGACUGAAUGUGUGGUAGGAACUACUUGUUAUCUCUCCUCUUUUCCCACAGUUAUAAACCUCCUAAUUUUCGUGAGCCCAUGUCAACUCAGAAUAAAGACAUUUACCAGCUUCCCUUGCAGCUAAAGGAGACCAUGUGAGUACAUCCUGGUCCAUGAGAUGUAAACAGGUGUGUCCUUCCUGGAACCGUCACUAAAAGUCACUUGAGGCUUGCCUUUGCCGGCUUCUUUUCCUUCCCCUUAUCCUAUUUCCUGGAAUGCAAAUAUCCACUUUGGAUAAGGGAUAAGAGGUGCACCUGGGGAUGGCAGAGUAAUGACCUAGAAGGAACCUCGGUACCUAAAGAGUUAAUAGAAUGAAGCCACCACACCAGCCCUGGACUGCCUGCCCACUUUCUGACUUUUAAAUGAAAGCAAAAUAAACCACUAUCCCAUUUAGGCUUCUAUUGUUUAGGGUCUCUGCUAUUUACAGAUGAGCCUAAUAUGAACUGAUACAGAUGGGGAAAGGAGAAUUGAAGGUCUGGAUUUUGAUGUUAUUGAUGUUAUUAGACGAGGAGGAGGAGCAAGUCUCCAGGGGACGUUCUUGAGUUCUGUUAUGCAGCUGAUAGGUUUAUAAGGCCUCAGGAAGAAACAUUAAAAAUCUUUACCUUUGGGAAGAGGAAUUGUGUGAUGAGAAGCUGAAAAGACUUAUCUGACACUAAAAACAUGUUGGUAUCUUUGAUAUUUAUUUUGUACCAUAUGCUUGUUUCACCUAAGCAUACAUAAGUGCCAAUACUUUACAAACUCUUCCAAAAAAUAAAUGAGGAGAGGACUCUUCCCAGCUCAUCCUACGAAGCCAGAAUUUCUCUGAUACCAAUACUAGACAAAGACAUCAGAAAAAAAAACUACAACAAUAUUCCUAAUAAAUAUAAAUGCAAAAAUUCACAACAAACUGCUAGCAAAAGAAAUUCAGCAACAUAUAAAACCAUAAGUGAGAUUUCUCUCAAGAACACAAGCUUAGGACUUCCCGUGUGGCUCACAACAUAACUACUCAAGAACACAAGCUUGGUGUAACAUAUGAAAAUAAUUGUGUAAUAGGACAAAAGGCAAAAAAAAAAAA